CUUCUUCUACCACUUGACUGCACUGAAGUCUUUGUGAAUCUGCUAUGAUUGUGGGGGCUGUCUGAUUUGUGAACAUUUCAUUGCUCAACAAAACUCCUUUAAAAUUAACGGGGCUGAAGUUUUUCUUUUAUCAGUAUGUAGGUGACAAUUUUUAAAUAGACGACAGAAAAAUCUCCAAUAAAAAUUAAGGAAUAGCUUUGUUAACAUGGAUUUACAGAUUCCUGUAAGACUUCCAAAACAUUUUAAAAUCAUAACCACCUUUUCUGAGGAUCCAGCAAGAUGGCAGAGGUAGAGCAGAAGAAAAAGCGGACCUUCCGCAAGUUCACUUACCGCAGCGUGGACCUGGACAGGUGAUGGACAUAUUCU